rnacentral:tRNA from 1 species
GGAGAGGUGGCCGAGUGGCUUAAGGCAACGGUUUGCUAAACCGUCGUAGGGGUCAAACUCUACCGGGGGUUCGAAUCCCCCCUUCUCCG